rnacentral:misc_RNA from 1 species
GAUGAAGAACGCAGCGAAAUGCGAUAAGUAAUGUGAAUUGCAGAAUUCAGUGAAUCAUCGAAUCUUUGAACGCACCUUGCGCCCUUUGGCCAUUCCGAAGGGCAUGCCUGUUUGAGUAUCAUGAACACCUCAACUCUUCAUGGUUUUCCAUGAUGAGCUUGGACUUUGGGGGUCUUGCUGGCCUGUGGGUCGGCUCCUCUCAAAUGAAUCAGCUUGCCGGUUUUUGGUGGGCAUCACAGGUGUGAUAACUAUCUACGCUUGUGGUUUUCCACCAGGGUAACCUUCAGCAGUGGAGGUUCACUGGAGCUUACAAAUGUCUCUCCUCUGUGAGGACAGCCCUUUGAAUGUUUGAUCUCGAAUCAGGUAGGACUACCCGCUGAACUUAAGCAUAUCAAUAAGCGGAGGA